UUUCCGGUGAGGGAACCUCUCUCCAGACAUGAUCAAGAGAAACUGGCGAGGGACUGACAUGAUCUAGCUUACCUUGGGUCACCGAACGGAUUUGGUUUGUUUGUUCUUUCUCUACCCCAAGAAAAAGUCGCUAGCUACUGCAAGGUUUUGUUUUCAAACAAGGAACAGCAUGCCAAAAGAAAGUGCUGCGCCUACCUGAUGAGCAAGGGAAUAAUAUUCUUCUAGAAAACUUCUUGUAGUAGUAUCAAGUCUCCCCUUGAUUCUGAUAAACAUUGCGCGCGAAGUUUACACUUUAAGGAGGAGGCCGUUUCCCCCUUCUGAAAAGGCAUGUGACAUAAUUAUCCCAGCGAUCACUAAAACUGUAAAUUUGGAUGCAAUUAAGAGAGAAAACUCCACACAUUUAUGGAAAUUUAAGCAUCUGGAUGUUGAAUUCUCAGCUCCUUCUCCAGGACCAUGUCUGCCUGGAUGCUGCCAUGCCAUGCUUCCUGCCAUGAGAAUAAUAGACUCAACCUCUGAAACUAUUUGCAGCUUGCUGGCUUGCUGAGUGGAAAAUGAUUCUUUCCCAGUUCUCCUUGGUUUCUUCCUUUCAUGAAUUGAUUAACACUGAGAGAUUAUGUUUUAAUUAUGUCGACUAGAGGUUUUAAAUGAUUCUAGGUUUCUGUGUCCAUUUGUUUUCCUAGGUUUGGGGAAUUUGCUACUGCAAUAUCGUUGUAUAGAUAUUCUUUGCUUUAGUGAGAAACUCAGCUCCUUCUACUCUGUGGUUCUUAGCUUUAGUCUAUUGUACACAUCACAGAGUUAAUGAAAGCUGUGGUCAUACUUGAUUUUUUCUUCAUUACUAUUGAAAUAAAGCAUAUCCUUGACCUUGUCUCCAAUCUCUAUUUUCAAGUCUGUUGGGGAUACAUUCCACUAUUGUUUGAUUGAAAUAUCCAUUUCCAACAUUUCUAUUACUUUGCUUCUUUUUUUUUUGUCCCCACCAAAAAUAAAUAUUUAUAGAAUUGUAAAUCAAAAUGAAACAUUUUUCUGUAUGUAUAAAAACAAAAGGAAACAAACAAAUAAAAAAAUCUGCAUAUUGAUUUGUUGUAACAGA
rnacentral:lncRNA from 1 species